AUUGAACGCUGGCGGCAUGCCUUACACAUGCAAGUCGAACGGUAACGGGCCUUCGGGUGCCGACGAGUGGCGAACGGGUGAGUAAUGCAUCGGAACGUACCUUUCAGUGGGGGAUAACGUAGCGAAAGUUACGCUAAUACCGCAUAUUCUGUGAGCAGGAAAGCAGGGGAUCGCAAGACCUUGCGCUGAUUGAGCGGCCGAUGUCAGAUUAGCUAGUUGGUGAGGUAAAGGCUCACCAAGGCGACGAUCUGUAGCGGGUCUGAGAGGAUGAUCCGCCACACUGGAACUGAGACACGGUCCAGACUCCUACGGGAGGCAGCAGUGGGGAAUUUUGGACAAUGGGGGCAACCCUGAUCCAGCCAUGCCGCGUGAGUGAAGAAGGCCUUCGGGUUGUAAAGCUCUUUCGGCCGGGAAGAAAUCGUAUGGGCUAAUACCCUGUGCGGAUGACGGUACCGGAAUAAGAAGCACCGGCUAACUACGUGCCAGCAGCCGCCGUAACAC
rnacentral:rRNA from 1 species